rnacentral:tRNA from 1 species
CCUGGUGGCUCAGAGGUUAAAGCGUCUCCCUGAAAUGCAGAAGACCCAGGUUCGAUCCCUGGGUCAGGA